GUCCUCGAGCAAAGAAAAAAUUGAACAUAGUACCUAAACACUUUAAGUGAAAUCAUGAGAGGUUUUGACAAAGAAGAAUUGACUAAGACCAAUCAAUGAUAUAAACAACUUUCAGAUGUACUCAUGUUCACCAAUUGAGAACUAAAAUCAUAAUAUUUUCUAAUCCAAAGUGUGUCUCACUGAAUGAAGACAUAUACAUAUAUAUCACAUAAUAUAUAGCUAUAGGAUCAAAGAAGGGCAUAGAUAAAAAAUACACUCACUCUCAACAAAGAAGUACCUCAAGCUACCAGAAAUAACUAUAAGCUUGACUAUCAUGUGAUUCUCCACUGAUAUAGGAGUCUCUGGGUUAAGAUCAUGUAGGAUUUAAGCUACUGGAAAUAACCAUAAGCUUGACUAUCAUGUGGUUCUCCACUAAUAUAGGAGUCUCUGAGUUAAGAUCAUGUAGGACUUUUACAAGGUUGUAAAGUAGGCUUUAGGGAUGGGUAUGAUGCAUAUAGAUAAUAGUGACUCUUUUUUUUUGAAAUUCUGAAGCUACUAAUUUCUUUUAUUUCUUAUGAAAACAUCUCCAAAUAUCGACAACUUCAAACAACUAUUCUUUCACCAGUUAUUUACAAUUACACCUCACGCCAAGAUUUUUGUAUUGAUACCAGCUCUUGAAGUGCCCAAAAGGAAAUUGUGUGAACAAAGAACAAGUCAGAACAACAAACAUGCUAAGGGUUAAAGCAUGGCGACCAACAAAAUAAGAAAUAAUUUAUUUAGGCUCAACUGGGCUAACUAGGGAUAAAAAUCAUUAAGGUAGGUCAGUUUAGGCCAUGGCUCAACAAAGAAGGUCUACGUUCAUUUCUUUACUCAAAGAUCUACCUAGAAUUUCUCCUCAAUCCACAUUCAAGGCAAGUUCUAGAUUUCCAGAUAAGCAGGAGAACUAGACAUUAUAAGCUAACCGCACAAUACACUUGCGCUAACGAAAAUAAUGAUUUCAAUCACCAAUAAGUAAGUAAAAGUUAGAAAAGUGAUCAUAAAAUCCGUGAUUGGUAGUUAAUCGAAUUCGUCUUUUCUAAGUCUCAUGCUUUUCAAGUCAAAUCAAGUUUAACUAACCUAUUUGCUAAAACUAGUUAAAACAACUAAAAGUCCAAAAAAAAGUUCAGUUCUAAAUAUUACGACCAUGGCAAAGAACUGAACAAGAAAUUCAUGGAAGAACAUGAAAUAAGUUGCCUUAAGAAUAAGGCAACUCAAUAUUUUCGGUUUUUUUUUUCAGUUUAUCUAUUUUAAAAUUUUUUCUAAAUUUACUAAAAACACAUUUUUAAGUUGUUAAAUAUAUCUUUUUUUCUUUUUCUUUUAUUUUAAUUGAAAAAAAUUAAAAUAAACACAAAUAUAACUAAUAUAUUCUUCUACCCCCUAGCUUAAAUAAUGUCAUGUCCUCAUGACAAACAAAUUAAAAGUAAAAGGAGAUAGAGGAGCUUUCCUAAUAUUUUUUUCUAUUCUGGCCUCAUUUCUUGUUUCUUGGCUUCUCAAAAUUUCUCUCAAAUAAGAAAGACAAGAUUAUGGCAAAGAAAAUGUUCUUUUUCAUUGUCACGACCCUAGUUCACCAUUCGUGAACCUUUCAUGACGGCACCCAGUCUUCGCGACUAGGCAAGCCUAACACAUUGCUAAAAUUCAACAAUCUUUUCGAAAACAAUAAACAAUACCAAUAACAUAAGAAAAUGUAUAGGGUGCCACCUGGCACAUACACUUCAACUCAUAAUAAUGUAACAACAUCCAAGACCCGGAAACCCCAGGCAACACAGGCUAAGAGUAAAAACAUACAUACGGCUCUAAUAUCCGAAAGUGUCUACAACAACGGAAUACAGGAAUGAAACUACUAACUAAAAAGGUUAGAAUAGAAGGAGACUCUUCGGAUUUGCGGACGCGGCAGAUGCAUACCUCAAGUCUCUAAUUGAAAUUCUCCCCGACAUCUACUAGCGGUAUGCCUGCUUAGAUGUACCUGGAUAUUAGAAGGAGACUCCUCCGUUCUACGGAUGCGACAGAUGCAUACCUCAAGUCUCUGGUUGUACGCGAACCUCCAAGGCUGACAAAACAGAAUGAGGGUACCUGUAUCUGCACAACAAAAGUGUGCAGAAGAGUAGAAUGAGCGCACCACAGCGGUGCCCAAUAAGUAUCAAGACAAACCGAGAUGGAGUAGUAACGAGGGACAGUCAAGACAUCUGCCGGUCCAUAAACAGUACAAUCAUAGGGAUAAUACAAAUGAUAUAAAAUUAUAUAAAGACAGCAUGAAUGACUAAAAGAGCUACAAUCAUAAUAAAACUAAACGGACAAUAAGUAACAACGAGAAAUACACAAAUGAUGAUAAUAAAAGGACGGUAGACAUUACAGUCCAAAUCAUGAAGUCACAGCACAACAAGGACAGACAAGUUACUAACUCAUUAUUCUGCACUGCUCUUACAUAAGGUAUUCCAACUUUUGCCACAAUUCCACCACAACUCUCAUACCAGCCACAACCCAUAAAAACCCAAUAUCCGAGGUAUAACACUUGGCAUCUUGUGCCCCAUCAAUAGCACAGUCAUGUUGACAACUGACUAGUCAACUAGAGUCACUCUCACAUAUAAAAUGGGUAAACGAGGGCACAUCCCCAACCCUAGCCAAAUCAAGAUAGAUUCAUACCUAAUAGGAGGGUCCAACUACGUGUAUGCUUGUCCAAGUGUAUCUAACAGGAAUCCUACCAACCAGUAAAUAUAAGAAAUGGAAUGACUAGCACCCGAUUUAUUCACACUCGGGUAGAAUCAAUGAAAAUAUCAGUUCAUGACACAAUGAGUUUAACGGGGAUCUUCUAGGAUUUCGUCAUGUAGUCUCAAACAUAAACAUGUGCUAGGGAUCUCUUGGUAUCCUCAAUAGAUGUUCUGGGGAUCUCUUGGUAUCCCGAGGAUCUACUGAUAUCCUUAAUAUAUAUUCUAGUGAUCACUUGGUGUGCCGAGGAUCCCUUGGUAUCCUCAAUAGAUGUACUAGGGGUCUCUUGGUAUCCUGAGGAUCUCUUGGUAUCCUCACUAUAUAUGCUAGGGAUCUCUUGGUAUCCCGAGGAUCUCUUGGUAUCCCCAAUAGAUGCACUGGGGAUCUCUUUGUAUCCCGAGGAUCUCUUGGUAUCCUCAAUAUAUAUCCUAGGGAUCUCUUGGUAUCUUGAGGAUCUCUUGGUAUCUUCAAUAGAUGUAUUGGAACCUCUUAGUAACCCGAGGAUCUCUUGGUAUCUUCAAUAUAUAUGCUAGGGAUCUCUUGGUAUCCCGAGGAUCUCUUGGUAUCCUCAAUAGAUGUACUGGGGAUAUCUUGGUAUCCCGAGGAUCUCUUGGUAUCCUCAAUAUAUACGUUGGGGAUUUCCUGGUAUCCCGCAAUACAAAAUAAUCAACAUAGAUGUACAGUCCAAACAAUAGAAUAGUAAAUAUCCCAGUGAAGGAGUCGACAAUGGAAGACAAUAACAUCCCGGCAAGGGAGUCAAUAGUAGAAAAUAAUAACAUCCCGUCAAGGGAAUCAACAAGAGCUAGUAAGGUCACGGAAACACCAAGAAAAACAAAAUAAUCUUAACGAUAAAACAAGACACAAUAAGCACAUAAUAGCUACACCGAUACUAUAACAAUUGGACAUGUAAUAUAUUUGUACGAACAUAUGAACUUACAAUCAAGGUGCACCCAAUAGUAAGGAAGUUAACAUGAAUCAAAAAUUAAAAAUUUAAGGAAGUAUCAACUAAUUAUAUGAUAUCCAUCCUUUUUUCAAAUAAUACCGAUUAAUUACCUAAGAUAUAACAUUUAUGAUUUCCAAUUAAAGACGAGUAGUUAGAAUGGAUAAUAUGACUAUAGAAAGGGUGAUUAUCUUCAAUUAAACACGUAAGAAGUCAAUUAAACAACAAGAAUAAAUCAAGAAGAGCAAACAAUACCAAGUAAGAUAUGUAGAGGGGAAACUAAUAACAUGGAACUCAAUUGUAUCAAUAUCUUCUUCAAACUCAAUGAUUUCAAGAGUCUAAGGGUCUAAAAAGGGACAAUUUACCACAAAUAAAUUCGAUCACGCACUCGUCACCUCGCGUACACAGAAUGCAAUCAACAGAGAAGACUCAAAUCCUAAGGGAAAGUCCCUCCACACAAGGUUAGGCAAGACACUUACCUCAAACCGGCUAAAAUCAACUAGCAACCGCGUUCUUGCCAUGAGUUCUUGACUCCAAAUGGCCCAAAUCUAUUCAAUGAAAUCAUACAUUACAAUUAACAUCUCAAGCAACUAAUUCUAUAAUUUAAUUCAAAGCUAAAGAGCGAAAUCAGGUAAAAUAACCAAAAUACCCCUUUGUCCAAUGUCUCGGAACCGGAUGAAUUUAACAUUUUUAGAACCCUCGUAUUUUCAUGAGUCUAACUAUAUAGAAAUCUCUCAAAUCAGAGGUCAAUCACUCCCUCAAAACCCAAUAAUUCGGUCUAUGAAGUUCUACCCAUUUUUCAUUCAAAACUGAGAUUAAAGGAUGAAAUUAAGAGGAGAUUCAUGGGAGUUGGUCUAAAUCGAAUGAAAAUCACUUACCCAAGUUGCCCAGGUGGAUAUCCCUUCAAAAAUUACCAAGAACCGAGCUCCAUAAGUCAAAUAUGCGAAAUAAUGGUGAAACCCUCGAAAUUGGGAUUUAAAUCUGUACGCCAGUUAUUUGUUCUAUGUGAUCAAAGAGUAUGGGUUACGAUCACAUAGAGGAGCUUGAGAGGGCCCGGACUUUGUGCACUGUGUUCGCGUAAAAAAGGGAUGCGAACGUGGAGGGUUGAGAUGAUGGCGUAUGUGAUCACAGAGCGUACAAUGCGAAUGCAUUGAAGGAAAUAUGGGGGGACCAGUAAUUGGUCUAUACAAACACGGAAUGCAUAAUGCGAAUGCGAAGAAGGCCAAGAUAAGCCUAUGCGAUCGUGGAGGCCUGAUCGCGAUCGCAUAGAAGGUGUAACAGAAGCAGCAACAACAAUCCAAAAGCAAGGGGAAAUGACAUGUAGCCCAUGCAGAACACACCCGAGGCUCCUGGGACCUCGUCUAGUCACACACACAAGUCAUGUAACCUAACACGGACUCGCUCAAAGUUCCAAAUCAAAUAAAACAACAUUGAAAUGAUGAAUCGAACCAAAAAUCAAGCUAAUGAACUUUCGAAUCUUCAAAUAACGAAUCCCAUGCCGAAACCUAUCAAUUUAACUCGGAAUGAUGACAAAUUUUGCAGACAAGUUGAACAUGACAUAAUGGAUCUGUUCCAACUCUCGGAAUAACAUACUGACCCCGAUUUCCCAAAAGUCAAAUGUGGGUCAAACCUUUUCAUUUUCCAACUUCAUCUUUCGUUGAAAUGCCUCAAUAUACUCUACAGACCUCCAAAUCUGAAUCCGGAUGAUCACCUAAGUUCAAAAUCACCAUACGAAGCUGUUGAGAUCAUCUCGUUUACCCAAAAGUUCAGUUCCGGUUAAAUUUCUACCGUUCUAACUUCCAAAAAGGUUUCUUUACUAAAAUUGACUCUAAACCAUCCGAAAACCGAAUUCCACCAUGCACGCAAGUUGAUACUCAUGAUCUGAAGCUGCUCCCGACUUUAUACCGUUGAACGAAGUUUAAUUUCUCAAAACAACCGGUCGAAUCGUUACAUUCAUGAUAUGAGAAAAUUUUCAUUGUUGAAAUCAUGGGAGAGCUUAUCUGUCAUGGCAUAAUAUAUUAAUACAUACCAUAAAAUAAAAAAUAAUAAUUUCAUGUAUAUAUAUAUAUAUAUAUUAAAGGAAAAUAUUAUAUGUUACUACUAAUAAUUACUUAAAUGAUUAAAGAGAGGGGAAGAAACUAGUUCUGAGUUUAACGUCGCCGGCUCGACUUUUUUUAAAAAUUAGGCAAAAAGGAUUGUUAAAGCAUGUUUGUCGAAGAGUCUACUGAUAUAAGGCUUCAAACGAUGACCGUUUACUUUGAAUUUGCUCCCCCAUCUACAUGUUGUACUUCAAUUGCACCAUAGGGGGUCACUCAUGUUACUGUAUAUGGUCCUGUCCAGCGUGACUUAAACUUUUUUUGAAAAUAAUCUCAAUCGACUAUUAUACAACAGAACAUGAUCUCCAACUUUAAAAUCUUUAUGGCAGAUGAGCCUGUCAUGCCCUUUUUUAUCUUUUCCUUGUACAAUUUAACACUUUUAUAUGCUGUAAGCUUGAACUCUUCCAACUCAUCAAGCUGCAAUAGACGAUUUUACCUGCAUCUAGCAAGCUUAGAUUCAACAAUUUUAUAGCCCAAUAUGCUUUAUGUCCUAAUUCUACAGGUAAAUGACAAGUUUUUCCAAAACACUAGUCUAUGAGGAGAUGUACCUAUGAGAGUUUUGAAAGCAGUUAUGUAUGCCCAUAAAGCGUCAUCUAACCUUAGAGCCCCAUAAUUUUGCAUUUUUUGGCGAGGCUCAUCUCAUUUUUAUUAUUUAAAAGGAUAAACCUUAGGCAACUACAUAUUUCUACUUUGCGAGGGCCAUAAAAAAUUCAACCAAUGACACACUUCGAUUUCUAAAGAGUUUUAUUAAUAAAAUCAAGUAUAACGGCAAUGAGCGCAUUUAAAAACGACAAUUAGAUACACUUACUAAAUAGCUUAUAUCCGCCACCCCAUACAAUUAUCACGUGCCACCUAAUUUUGACUAACCAAACCCCAAAAAUAUCAUAGAAAAUAUUUUCUAAACUAAAAUAUGCAUACAUUUUCCCACAUAGCUAACUCACAAGAUUUGGACAAAGGGAACCAUGGAGGAUGAUUAUACUAAUUCAAAUUAAGUGAAGCUUUUGACAGAUAAUUAAGUAAAGCCCCCAAUCAAUAAUAAUAAAUUUGCAUCAUAGUUUACUUAAUACAACGGCAAUCAUGCGUUUCCAGCAAAUCCGAGCCCCAAAACGUUAACACACAAUUUGAGUAGUAGGCUAUUUCCAAAUCAGUUCUCCAAUGUAUACAAUGUUAACACUGGAAAGUCAAAUAAUUAGAGCAAUUGUAAUAUGCAAGCUAAACACAAAAUUAGUCAUUGCUCUGAGAACAAAACCCGAACAAAAAUGCAACUUAACAAAAUCUCAAUAUUUAUCAACACCUCAACUGACGGACGAAUUGAUCUUAAAUGAAUGGAUAAGCAGCGACAAAAAUGUUAAACAAUAACACAAGAAAUGAUUGAAUCAUGUUUAUCUAUGUCGAGCAAAUGUACAGAGCAUAAAAAUGAUUUCAAAGAAAUUAUUGCAACGAGAAAAGGAACGGACCUCGAAACAAAGUCAUUUUCGAAUCUGAAAAUACUUAACACUGGAAACCUUAGGCAGAGGCAAACUCGACGGACCUUAGACAACGACCUCCGGCAAACUCGAGCGGCGAAUCCAACAAACAGAACCUCGAUGGCAGCCACGAACACCCGUAUUCUCGUGUUUUCAAAUUCCGUCGAGCCAGUAUUGAAUAUUUCUUUACCCAGGAUAUGCGUGCGUGUGUGUGUGCAUUGGGUUGCAUCAAUGGCUGACGAGAUGAAGCAGCAGUAGCUGGUGGGUCUGCUGACCAGAAAACUGCUGCUGGUGCGUUUGUUUCUACCGAAUUUCCGGCGAGCUCGCUGGUGAGAUGGUUAUCGUGAAGGAGUCAUUUGUUAAGGGAGAUGGGGUGCUGAGUUUGACAUGAAGAAAGGCGAGGUAGUUGGUGGUUUGUUCAGGAGAUGGCUGCUACGGCUGGUUGACGACGCAGCAUUCGGUUCGGUGAAGAAGAUGAAGCACGACGAAGGCUGGUCGUGGGGGACAAUUUUCGGUUGCUGAUGGGCGGGGGUUAUGGUGAUGCUAUGGUUUUUCCAUGUUAGUUCUUUAAGGUUUUUUAGUUGGAGAAGAUGAAGUCAUCUUCAUUGUAUCUAAGGUCUAAGGUGUAAGGGUCUGUCCAAGCUCUCCGGGCCUCUUACGGCUGAUGCUUAAGGUUAGUUUUAUAGGUAGAGUAUUAGGGUAGGUUAGUUUUAGGGUUUUAGGGUAUUGGCCUUGGGUUAUCAGAAUUUUUGGCCUAAAAAUAGGUCAUUUGAAC
rnacentral:lncRNA from 1 species